GAGCAGCUCCGACCUUCGUCCACACACAGCCAUGAUAAGACUCUCAAUGGGAGAGAAAUGCAGUUCAUGAAGCAGUUGAAUCAAGGACUGCUGGAGCUAUCAGGAAGCAACACAGAGCUGCAGGACACACUGCGAGACAACAGCAGCAUGCUGAGCGAGUUGGCGGCCAUCUUGUCUUCUGCCGCCACCGGCAAUGCUGAAGACGGCUAGAAGACCAAAGCUCUACAGGUUGCUCCGUAUCUUUGAGGUCACUGGUGACUGUGGUGAUACUGGGGACUGAUGGUGGUCACUGUGAUUAUCGCUAGCUUAAUAAUUGAAGGCAUCACUCAGAUCUCAGAAUCCAAGGAUUUGUUACAGUUCUUGAAAGUGUGAUCGUAAUGAUAGGUGGGCGCUCUGGUUAUAGGACUGCAGAGAAUUUUUUGUCGAGCAUAGAGUAGAAUUGAUGUUGGCAUCCACUCACUUUGUUAAAAUUCAAUCAUGUUUAAUGUUGGUGCAACGAGUUUACGCACAAUUUUCUUAUUUUUUACGCGUAUGAAAUAAGUAAUAGUUAUAUCUUCAAACUCUUACCCAGUAGAAAUAUGUAUAAAGAUAGUUGAGAAUCAAAAAAAAUCGGUGUGAAUUUUAUUUUGUGUAAGGACGUUUUAUGCUCGCUAUGAGUCAUGGGCAUUUGUUUAUAUUGAUCAGAGCAGCAAAACGUGAAGUGCAGUGCACCAAUUUAUCCAUUGGUACAUAAUAAACUGUCUUUUCAUAGUGUAUAUUUUUGUAAACAAAUAAUCUGCUAGUAAAAUUUACGAUGAUAUAUUCACUCCUAGAAAGUAUUUCCAUUAACUGGCACGUAAGUCAAUGGAAUAAGAAAUAAUUAUGAGGGUUAGGCCUACUAUACCCCCUGGGAAUAGUGUGGGAAUAUAAUUAUUGAAAGUCUAAGCAUAGUUCUUACGUUUUUUUAAUCAUGGUAAUUUUCGAAUGGAUAUCAUAGCAGCUAUAAAACUGAGUAACAUUGUUUUGUCUGUUGAAGCAUAACCGGAAUUUGUUUAAUGUUGUUUUCAGCUGUUGCUGACGAAAAUGUGUGUGAGACUGCAUGAAAUGCUUUCUCAGCUAGACAAUGGAAAGCAAUAGCAAGUCGAUUGUAAACGGCUCAUUGCAUUUAUGCGUGUGAUUGAUUGUCUUAUUAUUAUGACUUAGUCAUACCUGUACAUAUGCGGCUCUUGGGAUGUAUAGCAAUAACCAUGUAUUGUCAAUCAUUCCUAUUUUUAAUUGUUUUGAAUAAGAGACAAAAUAAAGUACUGGGUCAUGAAAUUAAAA